rfam:Clostridium pasteurianum BC1, complete genome.
UAUUUAAGUAAUAUAAAAUUUAAUAUAAAAAGGCAUUAAGGAAUGCGGUUUAAAUCCGCAACAGCCGCCGCUACUGUGAGUACUGAUGAGGGGUAUAUUAUCACUCGGAUUUUUUUCUGGGGAAGAGUAUCAUUAAGAUGAAGUACAAGUCAGGAUAUUUAGUGCUUUUUGUGAAGUUUCCA